AGACAAGGAAGUGCCGGGUAGAGAAGGGCGGGGUCAUUGGUGAGGGCCCCUCCCUCGGACUUGUGCCCACGGACCUACGUGAGAUCAGGAAUUCCUGUUUUUGAACCCAAAUACUGCAUUUUCCAGACCACUCUGGCCCGACACAACGCCCACCCUGUGCCUAUAACAACCCAAGGCCCUGGUGGGCACACCCACAAGCAGCUGGACGUCGAGAGGAACACACCGACAGACUCUGGCAGGCCAUCGACAGCAGAACAACACGGAUUCAGUAGGGACAGGUGGAGGAGAGUCUGGAGUCCUGGCUCCAGGGGAAUACAUCUGCCCACUCUAUCCCCCUUCUGGCUCCUCAUCUAUCUACUGAGAGCUACUCAAUAAAACCUUGCACUCAUUCUCCAAGCCCACCUGUGAUCUGGGUUUACUGGUACUGGGGCGAGAACCUUGGGACACAGAAAGCCCUCUGACCUUGCGAUAAGGCAGGGGGACGCUAAUUGAGGUGAUUAACAUAAGCCACCUGCGGACAGCUAAGCUGAAAGAGCACACUGUAACACAUGUCCACUCUGUCCUCGACGCUGCUGUGGGGUUGAGGCUCACGCUCCCACUGCCUGCCCGUCUGCAUGCUCUCCCUAGGAAUUUGAGCUGCGGGACACUGAAGAAUCGAGCCAAACCACCAUCGCACGCCCUGAGAGGGAGAUAAGGGAGCUUUUCCCCUUUUUACUCUCAGGUUCCAAAGUUCUCCACUAAUGAUGGAUGAUGAUUUGGGGGCACCCAAAGUGUAAACCACUGGACUUAUUCAUUUGUUGAGUGGCCUUUGGCUAAUUCCGAAAAGAAAGCAACUGAAGACAGACUGUUCUAAGAACUAAGAGAAUGAAUCUGGCUGACGUGUGGAGAGAAGAGAUGGACCAAGAUACUGCAUUGUGUCAGCUAGAAAUUUUGAGCUCUGGCGAUCUCAGUAACAUUAUACAAAUUCUUCCUGAAAGGAAUGAGCUUAUCCUCAGAAACAUCCCAGAACCCUUCACCAGUGUGGAAAACGGAGUUGUUCUGCAAGAUAAGAUAAUUAAUUCGUCUUUGUGUCAGUGCAGCCUGCUUCAAGAGCUUCAUUCUGAACCACAAAAUGUACUUACCCAAGUACAACGUUUAAGUAACUAAUCUGCAUCAAUUGAUGUCCAUGGAAGACCUCACGAAUGUCUGUAUUCUCUUCAAAUUCCUGGUUGCUGAGUUUAUAUGUUAAUUCUGGCAGUGCCUUUGUGAAUUGACUCUUUGCAUGUGAGUGUUGCUGAAGGUGAAAUUCUCUUCUAUAAUCACAAAGAUACUGGUAGUGAAGAGACAAUUGCUUCAAAACCCUAUUUAGAUGAACAGUACUACAUUGGUGCAAAAUUUAAAAAAUUAUAAUAUAGGAGUCAAUAUCAUUUCCGGUAUGGCCCCAUUAAUGUCUUUCCAGAAUCAGUGAUGUAGUAGUGAGUAAUGCUUCAUCAUUUUAUAAAUAAAAC
ensembl:lncRNA